rnacentral:rRNA from 1 species
GAUGAACGCUGGCGGCGUGCCUAAUACAUGCAAGUCGAGCGAACGGACGAGAAGCUUGCUUUUCUGAUGUUAGCGGCGGACGGGUGAGUAACACGUGGAUAACCUACCUAUAAGACUGGGAUAACUUCGGGAAACCGGAGCUAAUACCGGAUAAUAUUUUGAACCGCAUGGUUCAAAAGUGAAAGACGGUCUUGCUGUCACUUAUAGAUGGAUCCGCGCUGCAUUAGCUAGUUGGGAAGGUAACGGCUUCCCAAGGCAACGAUGCAUAGCCGACCUGAGGGGGUGAUCGGCCACACUGGAACUGAGACACGGUCCAGACUCCUACGGGAGGCAGCAGUAGGGAAUCUUCCGCAAUGGGCGAAAGCCUGACGGAGCAACGCCGCGUGAGUGAUGAAGGUCUUCAGAUCGUAAAACUCUGUUAUUAGGGAAGAACAUAUGUGUAAGUAACUGUGCACAUCUUGACGGUACCUAAUCAGAAAGCCACGGCUAACUACGUG